rnacentral:rRNA from 1 species
GAUGAACGCUGGCGGCGUGCCUAAUACAUGCAAGUCGAGCGGACAGACGAGGAGCUUGCUCCUCUGACGUUAGCGGCGGACGGGUGAGUAACACGUGGAUAACCUACCUAUAAGACUGGGAUCACUUCGGGAAACCGGAGCUAAUCCCGGAUAAUAUAUUGAACCGCAUGGUUCAAUAGUGAAAGACGGUUUUGCUGUCUCUUAUAGAUGGAUCCGCGCCGCAUUAGCUAGUUGGUAAGGUAACGGCUUACCAAGGCAACGAUGCGUAGCCGACCUGAGAGGGUGAUCGGCCACACUGGAACUGAGACGCGGUCCAGACUCCUACGGGAGGCAGCAGUAUGGAAUCUUCCGCAAUGGGCGAAAGCCUGACGGAGCAACGCCGCGUGAGUUAUGAAGGUCUUCGGUUCGUAAAACUCUGUUAUGAGGUAAGAACAAAUGUGUAAGUAACUAUGCACGGCGUGACGGUACCUAAUCAGAAAGCCACGGCUAACUACGUG